GACGAACGCUGGCGGCGUGCUUAACACAUGCAAGUCGAACGGAAAGGCCCUGCUUUUGUGGGGUGCUCGAGUGGCGAACGGGUGAGUAACACGUGAGUAACCUGCCCUUGACUUUGGGAUAACUUCAGGAAACUGGGGCUAAUACCGGAUAGGAGCUCCUGCUGCAUGGUGGGGGUUGGAAAGUUUCGGCGGUUGGGGAUGGACUCGCGGCUUAUCAGCUUGUUGGUGGGGUAGUGGCUUACCAAGGCUUUGACGGGUAGCCGGCCUGAGAGGGUGACCGGCCACAUGGGGACUGAGAGACGGCCCAGACUCCUACGGGAGGCAGCAGUGGGGAAUAUUGCACAAUGGGCGGAAGCGUGAUGCAGCAACGCCGCGUGCGGGAUGACGGCCUUCGGGUUGUAAACCGCUUUCGCCUGUGACGAAGCGUGAGUGACGGUAAUGGGUAAAGAAGCACCGGCUAACUACGUG
rnacentral:rRNA from 1 species